rnacentral:snRNA from 1 species
GGAUGUAAGGGUGAUCUAGCUGUGACAUGUCACCCCAUUGAUCACCAGGGUUGAUUUGGCUGAUGUAGCUUGCUAGGCGGGUGCCCAUUCCUCCUUCACUGCUCCAUGUGGGUCCCUCCCAAAGUUGCAUGCUCUGGCCAAGAGGAUGACCUUCCUGGAUAGAGGAAGACCAUUCUUUGGUCAAGGGCAUAUGAGUAGCUUCACUCCCCUGCUAGAACCUAAGUGUCCUCUCAAGGUCCACUUCUGGUGAUUGUAGGGUAGUCAAGUUUCCAAGACUUCAGACAUAUCCAAAUGAGGCACUGCAUGUGGUAGUCUGCCAUUCUUU